rnacentral:lncRNA from 1 species
AUGUACGGAGCAGGGAGACGCAAACGAUCGCGCCCUAGCCCACCGUCCGUGGCUGACCACCCUGGAUCUCCGCAACCCGCACAGCACAGACCAUCGAGGGACCAGACGCCGCGCCCUAGUCCGCCGCCCAUGGCUCAGCGCCCGGCUACGCCGCAACCCGCACCGCAGCCCGCCUCUCCACGAAUACAAUUUCUUAAUGGUAAUAGCUCCUCGAAUUUAGAUAUAAGCGCCGACGAAACCUUUAAUUUUAGAGUGUUAGGUGAAGAAGCUAGGGGUUUGCCUAAUAUGGAAGCAGGCCUUUUAUGCAUGAAUCUGAUUCUCAAUGAGCCUCCAACAGAACCUUCGUCAGGCCCUGAAACUUGCAGUCCAUGGUUGCACCACACUUUAGCACAACUCAUCCAGUAUUGUCUUGUGAGAGGGAAUGUCCGCCCUCAAGACAGAGUACAGCUUGAAAUUUUUAGUUUCAAUGCAGGGAACAAGCCACUUUUCAUAACACCCAGACGUGGUGAUCAACUAACACCAGAGGUAGUGUUUCAACGUCUGGAAAAAAUUCUAAAUUCUAAUGAAGAAUUCUUGCUUGAUGGCCCAUUGAGAAUCAGAUUUUGCAUCAAAAGAUGCCUAGUAGGUUAUGGUAGGAUAACUGUGGGUGUUAAUCUGACAAUGAGUCAUAACAAAUAUGUGACCACAAAAGCAGGUAUCAUCAACAUCCCGAAUGAUGAUGGGCUCUGUUUAGCCCGUGCGAUUGUUGUGGGCAGAGCUCACGCUCAUAGAUUAGACACCCCUGAGGCAAUGACUGAAUACAAAUGGCUCAUUAGGAAAAAUUGUGAUGGGCAGGAACGAGCAGCUUUACAGUUGUGUGACAUUGUGGGGGUAAAUUUGACAUUUGGAGGAGGACUGGAUGAAGUGAGAAACUUCCAAGACGCAUUGCCAGGUUAUACACUUACUGUAUUUUCUGUAGUAGUAGUAAUAUUAAGUUUCUUUCGUUUUUUUCUUGUCUUAAAGAGUUAUUUAAUAGAUGAUUUUAAAAACUUAACUUCCUUUUGUUUGAUUCUUUCAUCUCACCCCUCUUCUUUUUUUGUUCUUACAGUUGUUUUUUUUUUUUUUUUUUUUUUUUUUUUUAUUUUUAUGAUUUUUGUGAACGCUUUGUUUUAUUCAUCAUUUGGGUGGUGCGUUUUUGCGUCUUUAGGUUUUGAUCCAGCCUCGAUUAUUUCAAGUCGCUCUUCUAUCCGCCGAGCCAGGCAGAAUUUUUUAUCUUGA